rnacentral:rRNA from 1 species
UAACGUGAGCGUCCUAAGGUAGCGCGAUAAUUUGCUUUUCAAUUGAAGGAUGGUAUGAAAGGGUUAACGAAGAAGGUGCUGUGUCUAAAAAUUCAAUUUAAACUAACUUUAAGGUGAAGAGGCCUUUAUGCAAAAGAAGGACGACAAGACCCUAUGAAGCUUUAUCUUAAUUGGAGCUUUCAGGCUCUUAUACGAUUUUGAUGGGAGAUCAGUAGAAAUAAGUCUUCUACUAUCAUAUUAAUCUUACUAGUAUUUCCUAACCUUAUAUGUGUGGCUAGCUACUCUAGGGAUAACAGCGCAAUUUCUCCCGAAAGAUGGUAUUGGAGGGGAAGAUUGCGACCUCGAUGUUGGCUUUAGAUAUCCUAGAGGCGUAGAAGCUUCU